GGUAGUGUAGCUCAGUGGUAAAGUGCUUAAAAUCAUGCUUAAGGCCCUGGGUUCAGUCCUCCAGCACUACAA
rnacentral:tRNA from 1 species